CCGCGGGUGGAAGUGCUUGCCGGCUGGUUUACGGGACAUCUUGCUCUUCGCGUAUCUUUUGAUUGAACCGUUGGAUUGCAAAGCUGUAAAGUGUGCUGGGAAGCUGAUACUUCCAUCUUUAAGGUCUCCAAAUUUGAGCUGGAUCAGACGGUGAGAAGGCCUUCAAUCAGGGGUGAACUUCUGACGGUUUGACUCUGAGCUGAAAUCUGGUUUUCUAUCCAUUUUGUUAAACUUUUCCCUAAGUUACCUGAAAAGUGUCUUGGAACUACAAAUACUAGAAAAACAUGAUAAAAGUACUUAAAAGCAAUUAAAAAAAUAGAAAAAGUAUUUCAAAACGAUCCAUAAAAGUGGUCAAAAUACGGUGUUAUCGGUGGACAAUUGCUUUGAUAGUCUCUGAAUCUUUCCUAGGCAUCAUAGAGGUCCUUUGUGUCCUUCUGAUGAAAUUUUUGGAUCUUGUCCCUUAAGAGGUUGGAACGAUCUCUGGUGUAAAAGUGACUUAGGAAAACCUCACUACACUCUUUCCACGUCCUUAUGGACGCAGGUGGCAAAAUUUUAGGCUACUAGCUCUACCAGUUAGAGAGAAUGGAAAAAUGACACACAUAUGGUAAUCAGUAUUUUUCAUUAUGGUUGAACACAUCUCUUUAAAAUUUUCAAUAUGAUUUAUUGGGUGUUCUGUAGGAAAACCAUUAUACUUUUUAAGAUAGCUAAUGUAUUGUACCUUAGCUUCAGAGUCACCAUACUUAGGCAAAGGUGGUCG
rnacentral:lncRNA from 1 species